AGUGAUUUCUCACGAGAUCUGACAGUUUUAUAAGAGUCUGGCGUUUCCCCUCCUUGUGCUUUUCUCUCGUGUGCCAUGUGAAGAACCUUGCUUCCUCUUUGCCUUCCACCAUGAUUACUCUUACCAGUUGUUUUAAUUGCUAAGACAACCCAGUUCUGCAUGAGCUACAGCCAACUUCACAAAGAGAAGAAAGCAUUUGCCACAAGAUCAAUUGCCAUAUACCAGAAGAUAGAGGCUGUGGAUCUUCUCUAGUGAUGACACAUUUAGCAUGGCAGGUGUGAUUGAGACUACUCUCUGGUGAAGUUUUCAUUAGUUUACUGUCACUUGCCAUAUUCCAUCUGUUUUCUGAGGUCCGGAGAGGUGACUUGAAUGGAGUGAUGGGAAAUAUUAUCACGGAAUCCAA
rnacentral:lncRNA from 1 species